GACAGAGGGUGCAAACGUUGUUCGGAAUACUGGGCGUAAAGCGUGUGUAGGCGGUCUCAUAAGUCGGGUGUGAAAGCCCAGGGCUCAACCCUGGAAGUGCACUCGAAACUGCGAGGCUUGAGUACCGGAGAGGUUGGUGGAAUUCUCGGUGUAGAGGUGAAAUUCGUAGAUAUCGAGAGGAACACCGGUGGCGAAGGCGGCCAACUGGACGAGUACUGACGCUGAGACACGAAAGCGUGGGGAGCAAACAGG
rnacentral:rRNA from 1 species